AGAUAUGGAGGAGGAGGUACAGAUGAGGAGGAGAUAUGGAGGAGGAGGUACAGAUGAGGAGGAGGUAUGGAGGAGGUACGGAGGAGAUAUGGAGGAGAUAUGGAGGAGGAGGUACAGAUGAGGAGGAGAUAUGGAGGAGGAGGUACGGAGGAGAUAUGGAGGAGGAGGUAUGGAGGAGGCACAGAGGAGGAGGAGGUAUGGAGGAGAUAUGGAGGAGGAGGUACGGAGGAGAUAUGGAGGAGAUAUGGAGGAGAUAUGGAGGAGAUACGGAGGAGGUAUGGAAGAGGAGAGAUGGAGGAGGAGGUAUGGAAGAGGAGGAGGAGGUAUAGAGGAGGUAUGGAGGAGGAGAUACGGAGGAGAUAUGGAGGAGGAGGUAUGGAGGAGGAGGAGGUAUGGAGGAGGUACGAGGAGAAAUGGAGGAGGAGAGAUGGAGGAGGAGGAGGUAUAGAGGAGGAGGUACGGAGGAAAUACAAAGGAGUAGGAGGUAUGGAGGAGGUACAGAGGAGAAAUGGAGGCGGAGGUAUGGAGGAGGUACAGAGAAGAUAUGGAGGAGGAGAUAUGGAGGUACAGAGAAGGAGGAGGUAUGGAGGAGGUACAGAGGAGGAGGAGGUAUGGAGGAGGUACGGAGGAGGAGGAGGUAUGGAGGAGGUACAGAGGAGGAGGAGGUGUGGAGGAGGUACGGAGGAGAAAUGGAGGAGGAGGUAUGGAGGAGGUAUGGAGGAGGAGGUACGGAGGAGGUACAGAGGAGGAGGAGGUAUGGAGGAGGAGGUAUGGAGGAGGAGGU
rnacentral:lncRNA from 1 species